GAUUUAGCGGCGGACGGGUGAGUAACACGUGGGCAACCUGCCCUGUAGACUGGGAUAACUUCGGGAAACCGGAGCUAAUACCGGAUAAUUCUUUUAGCCUCAUGGCUUUAAGCUAAAAGGCGCUCCGGCGUCACUACAGGAUGGGCCCGCGGUGCAUUAGCUAGUUGGUGGGGUAACGGCCUACCAAGGCAACGAUGCAUAGCCGACCUGAGAGGGUGAUCGGCCACAUUGGGACUGAGACACGGCCCAAACUCCUACGGGAGGCAGCAGUGGGGAAUAUUGCACAAUGGGCGCAAGCCUGAUGCAGCGACGCCGCGUGAGUGAUGACGGCCUUCGGGUUGUAAAGCUCUGUUUUUGGGACGAAAGGCCUUCUUGCGAACAGUUAGAAGGAUUGACGGUACCGGAAUAGAAAGCCACGGCUAACUACGUGCCAGCAGCCGCGGUAAUACGUAGGUGGCAAGCGUUGUCCGGAAUUAUUGGGCGUAAAGCGAGCGCAGGCGGUUUUUUAAGUCUGAUGUGAAAGCCCUCGGCUUAACCGAGGAAGUGCAUCGGAAACUGGGAAACUUGAGUGCAGAAGAGGACAGUGGAAUUCCAUGUGUAGCGGUGAAAUGCGUAGAUAUAUGGAGGAACACCAGUGGCGAAGGCGGCUGUCUGGUCUGUAACUGACGCUGAGGCUCGAAAGCAUGGGUAGCGAACAGGAUUAGAUACCCUGGUAGUCCAUGCCGUAAACGAUGGAUGCUAGGUGUUGGAGGGUUUCCGCCCUUCAGUGCCGCAGCUAACGCAUUAAGCAUUCCGCCUGGGGAGUACGACCGCAAGGUUGAAACUCAAAGGAAUUGACGGGGGCCCGCACAAGCGGUGGAGCAUGUGGUUUAAUUCGAAGCAACGCGAAGAACCUUACCAGGUCUUGACAUCCUUUGACCACUCUAGAGAUAGAGCUUUCCCUUCGGGGACAAAGUGACAGGUGGUGCAUGGUUGUCGUCAGCUCGUGUCGUGAGAUGUUGGGUUAAGUCCCGCAACGAGCGCAACCCUUAUUACUAGUUGCCAGCAUUUAGUUGGGCACUCUAGUGAGACUGCCGGUGACAAACCGGAGGAAGGUGGGGACGACGUCAAAUCAUCAUGCCCCUUAUGACCUGGGCUACACACGUGCUACAAUGGAUGGUACAACGAGUUGCGAGACCGCGAGGUUUAGCUAAUCUCUUAAAACCAUUCUCAGUUCGGAUUGUAGGCUGCAACUCGCCUACAUGAAGCCGGAAUCGCUAGUAAUCGCGGAUCAGCAUGCCGCGGUGAAUAAGUUCCCGGGCCUUGCACUCACCGCCCGUCA
rnacentral:rRNA from 1 species